rnacentral:rRNA from 1 species
UACGUAGGGAGCAAGCGUUGUCCGGAAUCAUUGGGCGUAAAGCGCGCGUAGGCGGCCUCAUACGUCCGUUGUGAAAGUCAAAGGCUCAACCUUUGAAAGCCGAUGGAUACUGUGAGGCUAGAGUCCGGAAGAGGCGAGUGGAAUUCCUGGUGUAGCGGUGGAAUGCGCAGAUAUCAGGAGGAACACCAAUAGCGAAGGCAGCUCGCUGGGACGGUACUGACGCUAAGGCGCGAAAGCGUGGGGAGCGAACAGG